GGAAUUUUGGACAAUGGGCGCAAGCCUGAUCCAGCAAUGCCGCGUGAGUGAAGAAGGCCUUCGGGUUGUAAAGCUCUUUUGUCAGGGAAGAAACGGAUUUUUCUAAUACAGAGAUCUAAUGACGGUACCUGAAGAAUAAGCACCGGCUAACUACGUGCCAGCAGCCGCGGUAAUACGUAGGGUGCAAGCGUUAAUCGGAAUUACUGGGCGUAAAGCGUGCGUAGGUGGCCAAUUAAGUCAAAUGUGAAAUCCCCGAGCUUAACUUGGGAAUUGCAUUCGAUACUGGUUGGCUAGAGUAUGGGAGAGGAUGGUAGAAUUCCACGUGUAGCAGCGAAAUGCGUAGAUAUGUGGAGGAACACCGAUGGCGAAGGCAGCCCCCUGGGUCAAGAUUGACGCUCAUGCACGAAAGCGUGGGGAGCAAACAGGAUUAGAUACCCGAG
rnacentral:rRNA from 1 species